rnacentral:rRNA from 1 species
GACGAACGCUGGCGGCGUGCCUAAUACAUGCAAGUAGAACGCUGAGGACUGGUGCUUGCACUGGUCUAAGGAGUUGCGAACGGGUGAGUAACGCGUAGGUAACCUACCUCAUAGCGGGGGAUAACUAUUGGAAACGAUAGCUAAUACCGCAUGACAAUAGGGUACACAUGUACCCUAUUUAAAAGGGGCAAAUGCUUCACUAUGAGAUGGACCUGCGUUGUAUUAGCUAGUUGGUAAGGUAACGGCUUACCAAGGCGACGAUACAUAGCCGACCUGAGAGGGUGAUCGGCCACACUGGAACUGAGACACGGUCCAG